CCGCGUGGCAGAGAUGCUGACGCUGGAGGCCACGCGGAAGGGAGCCACGUGGGCAAUCCACGUGCGUGCGAUUGAACGGCCGAGAUCCAUUCCCGCGCGCACGGACGGCCUAGAUCAAAGGCGCGUGCGGACGGCCCAGGUUGCACGUGUAUGAACGGCCCAGAUUGAAUCGCGCACAGACGGCUCAAAUCGCAUCGCGAU
rnacentral:lncRNA from 1 species